GAUGAACGCUAGCGGCAGGCCUAAUACAUGCAAGUCGUGGGGCAGCAGGACUGUAGCAAUACAGUUGCUUGCGACCGGCAAACGGGUGCGGAACACGUACGCAACUUAUCCUGAACUGGGGGAUAUCCCGGGGAAACCCGGACUAAUACCCCGUAAUAUAAUGGAGUGUCAUCACUUUAUUAUUAACGCUCUGGCGGUUCGGGAUGGGCGUGUGGCUGGUUAGGUAGUUGGUUGAGGUAAUGGCACACCAAGCCUACAAUAAGGAACAGGUGGGAGAGGACGCCAAGUCACAGGGGCACUAAGUCCCGGGCCCCACUCCUACGCGAGGCAGGAGAAAGGAAUAUAGGGCAAUGGAGGCUACUCUGGCCCAGCCACGCCGGGUGGAGGAUGAGGGCCCUCUGGGUAGUAAACUUCUUUGAUAGGAGACGAAACCUAUGAAUUCUUACGAAGUUGACGGUACCCUAGGAAUAAGCACCGGCUAACUCCGUG
rnacentral:rRNA from 1 species